rnacentral:lncRNA from 14 species
GCCAUUUCCGCUGCCGCCACCAUAGAGACGAAACCUCCCUGAGGGUAACCCAACCCCAACGCGGCCGCUAAAACCCCCUCCCCGUGAUAACAAAAACCAUUUCGGGCCGUUGUAAUCAAUGUUAGCUUUUUUAUGAUUUAAAAAACAGAGAGCAAUGGAAGCGGAGAAAUGUUGGAGGACUGAGCUAGAGCGGCACCGGAAGAGGAAAGGAGGAGCCCGCAGGGAGGAUACGGGGAGGAACCAUAGAGAAGGGGCGGAGCGCCGCCGGAAGGGGCGGGGCGCCAGCGGCGGGCGCGCGCGGCGCGGGCGGUGCGUCAUCGGCGGCGACGGGCGGGGGGAGGGGCGGGGCGGGGGGCUGGGGGGGGGGGGGACGUGAGGGGGAGGGGGGGGGGUCCGGGGCAGAUUUUGGGGGAAAUUCGGGCGGAUUUGGGCAUUUGGGGGCGGCCCGGCCUGUCCGCGGGGUGUGGGAGGGGCGGGGGGGGAGCGGGGGAGGAAUUGAUGGGGGGGGGUUCGUGAGGGGAUGGGGGGGUGAGGGGAGAGGUGAGGGGGUUUGGGGUGAAAUGCGGGGGUUUGAGGGGUUUGGGGGAGACGUGAGGGGAUUUGGGGUGAAAUGCGGGGGUUUGAGGGGUUUGGGGGAGGCGUGAGGGAUUUGGGGUGAAAUGCGGGGGUAUGAGGGGUUUGGGGAAGGUCUGAGGGGGUUUGGGGUGAAUGAGGGGAUCUGAGGGGUUUGGGGUGAAAAGAGGCGAAGUGAGGAGAAAUGAGGGGAUUUGAGGAGUUUGGGGGAGAAAUGAGGGGAUUUGGGGUGAAAUGAGGGGAAUUUUGAGGGAGAAAUGAGAGGAUUUUGGGGUAAAGGAGUGAGAAAUGAGGGGAUUUGGAGAUUUUUUGGAAGAAUUGAGGAGCUUGGGACCCUGUGCUCCCCAUUGGUCCGUGCUCGGUGACGUCAUUGUGGGUGGCACCAAUCAGAGCCUGGAGCUCCGGAGCCCCCCCAGCCUGAGAAGAGCCCCCCAAAAACCCCCAAAUUCCCCCCAAAAAUCCCAAAUUACCCCCAAAUUCCCCCCAAAACCCCCAAAUUCCCCCAAAAAAACCCCAAAUUCCCCCCAAAAUCCCAAAUUACCCCCAAAAAUCCCAAAUUUCCCUCCAAAUUUCCCCCAAAUUCCCCCCCAAAAAACCCAAAUUCCCCCAGGACCCCCCAAUUCCCCCCAGGACCCCCUAAAUCCUCCCAAAAUUUCCAUUUUUUGGGGUUUGGGACCCCCAGGACCCCCCAAAUUUCCAAUUUUGGGGUUGGGGACCCCAGGAUUUUCCAGUUUUUUGGGGUUGUGGGCCCCCAAAAUUUCCGGGGUCCCCUCUAAAUUUCCAUUUUUUGGGGUCAGGACCCCCAGAUCUCCCCAAAUUUUGGGGUUUUUGGGGUGGGACCCCUCCAAUCCCCCCCAGAACCUUUCGAAUUUUGGAUUUUUGGGGUCAGGACCCCCAAAAUUCCCCCAGAAGCUCCAAAAUUUCAGAUUUUUGGGGCUGGGACCCCCAAAUCUGCCCCAAAUUUCGGAUUUUUGGGGCUGGGACCCCCAAAUCUGCCCCGAAUUUUGGAUUUUGGUGCUCAGGCCGCCCAAAUCUGCCCCGAAUUUUUGAUUUUUGGGGUUGAAGCUCCCAAAUCCCCUCCAAAUUUCUGAUUUUGGGGUUCAGCCGCCCCCAGUUCCCCUUUCCCUCUCCAAAUUUGAGAUUUUGGGGAUCAGGACCCCCAAACCCCCCCAAAUUUUUGAUUGACACGGUCAGGCUCCCUCGAAAUUCCGUUUUUUGGGGUCAGAACCGCCCAAAUUCCCAUUUUUUUGGGUCAGAAUUCCCCAAAUUAACAUUUUUCGGUUUCAGCCCUCACCAGAAUCCCCCAAAUUCCCAUUUUUUGGGUCAGAACUGCUCAAAUUCCUAUAUUUUGGCAUCUAAACCCCCCAAAUUCCCAUUUUUUGGCUCAGAACCUCCCAAAUUCCCAUUUUUUUGGUCUAAACCCCCCCCAAUUCUCAUAUUUUGGGGUCAGAACCCCCAAAUUCCCAUUUUUGGUGUCUAAAUCUCCCAAAUUCCCAUUUUUGGGGUCAGAACCGCCUCAAAUUAACAUUUUUCGGUUUCAACGCCCCCAGAACCCCCCAAAUUCCCAUUUUUGGGGUCCAAAUUCCCAUUUUUGGGGUGAGAACCUCCGAAAUUCCCAAUUUUGCAGUCAGAACCCCCUAAAUUCAGAAUUUUUGGGUCCAAACCCCCCAAAUCCCCAUUUUUGGGGUCAGAACCCCCCAAAAUCCUCUCAAAUCCCCAUUUUUCAGUCCCACCCCCCCAAACCCCUCCCAAAUUUUAAAUUCCCGUGACCCCACCCCCUCCCCUAAUUACCAUU